UACGGAGGGUGCGAGCGUUAAUCGGAAUUACUGGGCGUAAAGCGCGCGUAGGCUGCUUGAUAAGCCGGUUGUGAAAGCCCCGGGCUCAACCUGGGAACCGCAUCCGGAACUGUCAGGCUAGAGUGGAGGAGAGGAAGGUAGAAUUCCCGGUGUAGCGGUGAAAUGCGUAGAGAUCGGGAGGAAUACCAGUGGCGAAGGCGGCCUUCUGGACUGACACUGACGCUGAGGUGCGAAAGCGUAUGUAGCAAACAGG
rnacentral:misc_RNA from 1 species